rnacentral:rRNA from 1 species
GACGAACGCUGGCGGCGUGCUUAACAUAUGCAAGUCGAGCGGUAAGGCCCUUUCGGGGGUACACGAGCGGCGAACGGGUGAGUAACACGUGGGUGACCUGCCCUCAGCUCUGGGAUAAGCCUGGGAAACCGGGUCUAAUACUGGAUAUGACUCCAUGACGCAUGUUGUGGGGUGGAAAGCCUUGUGCGGCUGAGGAUGGGCCCGCGGCCUAUCAGCUUGUUGGGGGGUGAUGGCCUACCAAGGCGACGACGGGUAGCCGGCCUGAGAGGGCGACCGGCCACACUGGGACUGAGACACGGCCCAGACUCCUACGGGAGGCAGCAGUGGGGAAUCUUGCGCAAUGGGCGAAAGCCUGACGCAGCGACGCCGCGUGAGGGAUGACGGCCU